UGAAAAGACGUAAAGGCAGUCAGCCCAGUGGUGUUUCUGGAGAGGGAUUCCUUCAGAAAUGGAGAAGACAGAAAGCUGCGGAGGCAGAUAUUUGCAGCAUGUUCGAGUGAGCAUGAUGACCACAAGUGUGUGUCGAACUUUUCAUGACCUGAUGACUGUGUUUCCCAAUCCUGAUCCUGGAGAACCCCAGCACUGCACGGUUUUGGCGUCUCUCUUAUCUGCCUUGGAGUCUUCACUGAUGAGCUGAUGAGUUGAAUCAGGAUUGUUUGAGGAUAACACUGCAGUUCUCCAUCAUGCACAAGGACUCACCUCGUUAACUCUUUAUCCCCCACACACACAGAAAUGGUCCCUGGAUCAGUGAUUAGACUUUGCAGUGGUUUGAUUUUUGCAGAAGAUGUAACUUUGUUUUAUUUAUAAGCUCAUAAUGAAUACAUUACAGAACCAGUGAUGAAAACAAUAGUUAAAAAUAGUAUUUUUCGUAUUGAUAAAGCAUUUUGUUCUCUUUUUCAAGCUUCAUACAGUGAACUUUUUAGACUUUAAUUAAGAGUUUUAGUAAAGGAGAUAUUCAUACACAGUCAUCCCCUAGCUCCAGUCAUGAAGUGAAUUCAUGAUGUUAUUGUCAAAGCUAGCAGGUGUUUGUUUUCCUGAACACUUUCUCUGUCUUCCAUUGUUCAGACAAUCAGUGUUUAUUUGAUGCUGUGCUGAUUGAGUUUUAUAGAUGAUAUUGCACACUUGACAUGCAUGUCUUCAUGGUGUUUUUUUGUGAGUUUGAAACAUUUACAUUGUGUUGUAUAACAUUUUGGUCAAUUUAAUUUUUUAAAUAAAAUUGAUCUUUUUCCAGUGUUCUCUGAAAGACAUACUGUAUUUACUGUUUUGUUUUUUAAUAAAAGCAUUUUCAUUUGCAUACUGAAAAUAGUUAAUGUUUACAACAUAACUGCCUUUUUAUUCUUUAUGGUGGCAAAAACGAGCUUGGUGACAGAGGAUGCAGUGUAGUAAUUUGGGCAUGUUGUCUUUAAAUGAGUUUGACAUAUCAAUAAAUAAUGGAAGAUCCUUACAAAAAUAUGCAUGUUUAUUAUGCUUUAUGUAUUUAUUUGUUCAUUCAUUCAUUCAUUAAUUUAUAAUUUCUGUUUUUAUUCCUAGGGUUCAAAUGGUAGAGAAUGGUAAAUCAC